UAGUUUCUCAGUCAUGAAUCAGUUACCUCUUCUCAGCAGCUCAGCAAUUCAACUUACACUCCUCAUGAAGAUCUAAACCCACAUUUGAAAUCUCGUUGCUAACUUCUUCCUCUUGAAAGUACUGGACUUAAUGGUGCUCAUGCAAAAGUCAGUGAUGCAUUCUUGAACGUACCGGACUUAAUGGUGCUCAUGCAAAGGUCAGUGAUGCUUUGGAGAUGAUGCAUGCAAGAGUUAGUGACAACUUGAAGACCUUCAAAAAGAUACUUCUGUUGUCUGACCAUGGAGACAAUCUGACACAUGCAAUCC
rnacentral:lncRNA from 1 species